GAAGCUUGCUUCUUUGCUGACGAGUGGCGGACGGGUGAGUAAUGUCUGGGAAACUGCCUGAUGGAGGGGGAUAACUACUGGAAACGGUAGCUAAUACCGCAUAACGUCGCAAGACCAAAGAGGGGGACCUUCGGGCCUCUUGCCAUCGGAUGUGCCCAGAUGGGAUUAGCUAGUAGGUGGGGUAACGGCUCACCUAGGCGACGAUCCCUAGCUGGUCUGAGAGGAUGACCAGCCACACUGGAACUGAGACACGGUCCAGACUCCUACGGGAGGCAGCAGUGGGGAAUAUUGCACAAUGGGCGCAAGCCUGAUGCAGCCAUGCCGCGUGUAUGAAGAAGGCCUUCGGGUUGUAAAGUACUUUCGGCGGGGAGGAAGGGAGUAAAGUUAAUACCUUUGCUCAUUGACGUUACCCGCAGAAGAAGCACCGGCUAACUCCGUGCCAGCAGCCGCGGUAAUACGGAGGGUGCAAGCGUUAAUCGGAAUUACUGGGCGUAAAGCGCACGCAGGCGGUUUGUUAAGUCAGAUGUGAAAUCCCCGGGCUCAACCUGGGAACUGCAUCUGAUACUGGCAAGCUUGAGUCUCGUAGAGGGGGGUAGAAUUCCAGGUGUAGCGGUGAAAUGCGUAGAGAUCUGGAGGAAUACCGGUGGCGAAGGCGGCC
rnacentral:rRNA from 1 species